CGCUGAUGUGAAAUGCACUACAAUUAGUGAGCCUGUACUUAUUUAAAAUAGCCUGACAGUCUAGUAAGUGGGUUUACGUCCAUUUGGACCCGCCCAAAAGAGCAGCCAACAGACAUCGCUGUCGUCAGUGUUUCAUUUAAUUACCCAGCACUUGACUGCUGCCUAGGUGUGAAUGUUCCGAAGCGCACUUCGCAGAUGUCAGCGUGAGUCUGGAAUGAGCUUGGUUUAAGUGGUUCGUGAAAGUACAACUUUGAAUUUGGCUCCCCCUUGUGGUUUUUCAAGGACAACAGAUGAAAAAUAGACUUCUGGCUAAUUCUGGUACAUAUGCAGAAGUGCUAAUUAAUGUACACUGUCCCUACCAAAUAAACAAAUAAAAUAAAUCAAAUAAAAUGAAGUCAGAAAGUUUGGUUCAAUAUUAAAUCAAUAGGAUUUUUCUGAAUAUUUCAGUUUAGUUUGUAGAAAACUUAAAGGUGCAUCAGUUAUAAAUUAUAGAGCAUCCAGAGUAAGAAUAUUUGAAGGUAUAUUUGAGUUUGUUUCUAUUGUGUAUUGACAAUUUGUAAUUUUAAUUGAUGGCAAGAGGCCACAAUAUAAGUGUUGUAAGAUAUCAGCUAUUUCCCCCCUUCACGUUCAUACAUUGGUGAAGUUUCAGUGACAAGCAGUGACAUUUGCGUUAUAUUGAUCUGAACUCAACUUCAGUAGUGGCAUUUAUACUAAACUAAACUGAAGAGGUUAUAAUUUCUCUAGAACUAUAUCAGCAUACUACACCACUUCAUUCUUCAUUCUUCAUCUAUGUUAAGCUGCUUUG